GAUGAACGCUGGCGGCGUGCCUAAUACAUGCAAGUCGAGCGAACGGACGAGAAGCUUGCUUCUCUGAUGUUAGCGGCGGACGGGUGAGUAACACGUGGAUAACCUACCUAUAAGACUGGGAUAACUUCGGGAAACCGGAGCUAAUACCGGAUAAUAUUUUGAACCGCAUGGUUCAAAAGUGAAAGACGGUCUUGCUGUCACUUAUAGAUGGAUCCGCGCUGCAUUAGCUAGUUGGUAAGGUAACGGCUUACCAAGGCAACGAUGCAUAGCCGACCUGAGAGGGUGAUCGGCCACACUGGAACUGAGACACGGUCCAGACUCCUACGGGAGGCAGCAGUAGGGAAUCUUCCGCAAUGGGCGAAAGCCUGACGGAGCAACGCCGCGUGAGUGAUGAAGGUCUUCGGAUCGUAAAACUCUGUUAUUAGGGCAGAACAUAUGUGUAAGUAACUGUGCACAUCUUGACGGUACCUAAUCAGAAAGCCACGGCUAACUACGUGCCAGCAGCCGCGGUAAUACGUAGGUGGCAAGCGUUAUCCGGAAUUAUUGGGCGUAAAGCGCGCGUAGGCGGUUUUUUAAGUCUGAUGUGAAAGCCCACGGCUCAACCGUGGAGGGUCAUUGGAAACUGGAAAACUUGAGUGCAGAAGAGGAAAGUGGAAUUCCAUGUGUAGCGGUGAAAUGCGCAGAGAUAUGGAGGAACACCAGUGGCGAAGGCGACUUUCUGGUCUGUAACUGACGCUGAUGUGCGAAAGCGUGGGGAUCAAACAGGAUUAGAUACCCUGGUAGUCCACGCCGUAAACGAUGAGUGCUAAGUGUUAGGGGGUUUCCGCCCCUUAGUGCUGCAGCUAACGCAUUAAGCACUCCGCCUGGGGAGUACGACCGCAAGGUUGAAACUCAAAGGAAUUGACGGGGACCCGCACAAGCGGUGGAGCAUGUGGUUUAAUUCGAAGCAACGCGAAGAACCUUACCAAAUCUUGACAUCCUUUGACAACUCUAGAGAUAGAGCCUUCCCCUUCGGGGGACAAAGUGACAGGUGGUGCAUGGUUGUCGUCAGCUCGUGUCGUGAGAUGUUGGGUUAAGUCCCGCAACGAGCGCAACCCUUAAGCUUAGUUGCCAUCAUUAAGUUGGGCACUCUAAGUUGACUGCCGGUGACAAACCGGAGGAAGGUGGGGAUGACGUCAAAUCAUCAUGCCCCUUAUGAUUUGGGCUACACACGUGCUACAAUGGACAAUACAAAGGGCAGCGAAACCGCGAGGUCAAGCAAAUCCCAUAAAGUUGUUCUCAGUUCGGAUUGUAGUCUGCAACUCGACUACAUGAAGCUGGAAUCGCUAGUAAUCGUAGAUCAGCAUGCUACGGUGAAUACGUUCCCGGGUCU
rnacentral:rRNA from 1 species